CCCGUUGGGGGCCCUGGGAAGACGGAGCGAGGCGGGAGGAGCGGCCCCCGGAGGGGUGUCGCGGGUAACGCCCCCUUUGGGGAACACACAGGCCGGCGCGUUGGCCCCACGCGCCAGGGGGCGCGAGCCGUCCGUUGACCCGGGCCCCGUGUGCCCCCCCCACGCUGUGGCAGGCGCCCCCCUCACCCCUCCCCCCGCUCAGGGGGGCGGGCCCUGCAACCAGCCUCGGGGCCGAAGACCUCCUGCCGCCGUGGCCUGUCUGGAAAGGCCUGGGCCUCCUGCCACCCCCAUCGAGAGCGACGCGUCCAGCCCCGGCACUGCCUCCCUCCCUCCCGUGCUGGAAGAGGCCUGGCGGGCCGGCACAGGCUCGAACCGCAGCAGCGCCUGCGGAUUCCCGCCGGCACAGCCGCUCCCAGCCUUUGCCCCAGCUCUCGCCGGGGAAGCUGCUGGUGAGGUUGUAAACCCGACAGGCCGCCUGUUGGGUGGGUUGUCCCUUGCCUGAGACUGAAACCGAACCAGAGGUGGAUUUGGUCCGUAUUGGGUGUUGGAGACACCAUGUUGAGGAGCAGGCUGCUCCACUGUGUGACCUCCCGCACCCUGCAGCUAUUUAUCUGGGGUGCUCUUUUUCUUGUGGCUUCGGGACUCCUAUUUUGUCACACCACUCAGAAGGAUUCUUCUUACUGAUGAAGAUGCAAGUCUGUGAAAUGGAGGCUAAUGAAAAUUAUAUAAUACAGAAAGAGAAAGGACUUGUGUGUCUGUCUGCAGAAUUGUAAAUGGGUCACUUUUUUGCAGAAAUGUUGAAACAAGUUGUUACUAUUUUUAAAAUGGCACUUGUGGAGAAGCAAAAAUGGGCCUGUUACUAUUUUGCUAUGUUUGAGAAGUGUCUGCAAGGACAAACACCGGAUCUUAAGCAGGUUAACGUUUUCAAUAUUCUUAAUUAUAUACAUAGUGUAAAACAGUUGGAAGUGGGAGCAACAAUAGUUUAGCUCACAGACCUUAAAAUGUUCAGUAGGGCUUGUCAGGAGCCUCAUUGUUUUUAGAUUUAAUAGGCUCUUAAGUAGUUCUUGUUGUUUAAAGUGCCUUUGCUUACCAAACAUGUUUCUCUUUUUGGGAAGUACAUGCCUCCUUAGCUUCACCAAACCCUAACAAAGGUUCACGUCAACCAGGAAGCUCUUCUCUUACUAAAUCAAGGAUUAAGAAAGAUGGACCAUUUUGUGUGGAAGGGGGAGUCAUAAGAAUUCCACACAUAUUUUCAAUCCGUAAUCUGCGGCAGGAAAUCCAGAUUCAUAAAGACAUUUCUACUCACAAAUAUACAACAACUGGGAAAAAAAAAUCCGUCCCCUAAUGUAGCAAUGCAACUUAACAGUCAGAUUCCCUCUCCCAAUUCCCCAUCGGAUAGAAAAAUUGUAGUGUCAGAUGCCUUCUGAGGCUCAAAAUAUCUUUAGCUUAUCUUAACUCCUGAAAUGCUAGUCUCAGAAGUUGAGCCUGAUCUCCUGUUCAAUAGCAUAUUGCACUUCUUUCUGAGCUAUCAGAUCAGACAUCAACCUGACCUGAAGUGAGUUAGAUUGUUUCAUCCUUAACCAUAAUGGAUUUAAGUUCACCUCAUAAUGCGACAUAGAAGUCUUAGCUCAGGAUUGGGCUGUCACUGGAAAAUCGUGUAUAGUAAGGAUGAAUAUGUGGCAGCUCAGGAUUGGAAUAGUAUAACUAUACCAGUUAGGAUUAGGAUACUUUGGUCGGGCUGUUUAGGAGAUUCUCAUUAUUGAGGCUUUGGUUUCCAGUUAAAAUUAAUCACUGAAAGCUCUGGUAAGUGGGGGGCCCUGAAGACAUCUUGGCAAAGUGGCCAGCCAGGCAGCUAGCAGAGAGGGCCAGAGCAGAGCCCCGCAAUCGGCCAUUGGGACGACGAGCGAGUGCCGAAGCAGCGGAGCGUGUAAGGUGACUCCUUACCCACCCCCCUCCACACAAGGGUGGGAGAUGAACUCUGUAGAUGAACCUCUGAACUCUGGGGCUGCACUGGCCAAGCAGAGCAACCGUGAGUGGGGUGCAGAGAAGGGACGAGCACCUUAAAGGGACUUUUGGGUUGCUGGACUUAAGAACCUGAAGGGAAAAGGGCUCUGCCCAACUUACUUGUGAGUGGGUCUUUUGAUCAUGGUUUAUGUUUAUGAACCCUGGUUGCGGUGUUCUCCCAAAUUAAUGCAGUGUUACUUUCCCCCUUUUAUUAAAAGUUUUUGCUACACUCAGACUCUGUGCUUGUGAGAGGGGAAGUACUGCCUCUUAGAGGUGUCCAGGGGGUGGUGUGUAAUUGUCCCAGGUCACUGAGUGGGGGCUCGAGCCGGUUUUGUGUUGAAUUGUUGAAAAGGAACCCCUAGAUAGUGUACCCACCCCUUGUUGCUACUGGCUCCACCUGGCAGAAGGGUUACACAUACGGUACUAGCUAGAAUGUUGCAGGUUGCAGAGACAGCGUGCUUAAUCACUGCGCAGAUGAGCAUGUUUUCUCACCCUGAGUGACUGUCAUGUGUCAUCCCAGUUGCAGUAUUGAUAGGGUUCACAAGGAAGCACAACAAUCUCUACUGGGCUGGAAAGCCAAGAUCAGACCAAUAUGGGGCCUCUGGGGAAUGAAAAAAUGGAGGAAAUGCCAGAUGAAUUAUCCCAUCCCAAAAUAUCUCGGUACAAAAAUGAUGAAAUCUUGGACUCUUAAGUAUAACUGCCUUUCCUUUAUUGAAGUUGUAAUUAAUUACUCAGGACCUAUACUGUUAAUGAGUUUAGGCUGUUGCAUAAGAAAAGAGGUUGUAAGUGCUGUUUGAUUUAAACUAGAUUGCAAGAGGAAAAGUCUCUCUUCAUUUCAUUAAAAGCAAAAUAACCAUUAAA